AUUGAACGCUGGCGGCAUGCCUAACACAUGCAAGUCGAACGGCAGCACGGCAGUAGCAAUACUGUGGGUGGCGAGUGGCGGACGGGUGAGGAAUACGUCGGAAUCUGCCCAGUCGUGGGGGAUAACUAGCCGAAAGGUUAGCUAAUACCGCAUACGACCGAGAGGUGAAAGCGGGGGACCGCAAGGCCUCGCGCGAUUGGAUGAGCCGACGUCGGAUUAGCUAGUUGUGGGGUAAAGGCCACCAAGGCGACGAUCCGUAGCUGGUCUGAGAGGAUGAUCAGCCACACUGGAACUGAGACACGGUCCAGACUCCUACGGGAGGCAGCAGUGGGGAAUAUUGGACAAUGGGCGCAAGCCUGAUCCAGCAAUGCCGCGUGUGUGAAGAAGGCCUCGGUGUAAGACACGUUUAUCUAGACGAAAG
rnacentral:rRNA from 1 species